rnacentral:tRNA from 1 species
GCCUGGGUGGCUCAGUCGGUUAAGCGUCCGACUUUGGCUCAGGUCAUGAUCUCAUGGUCUGUGGGUUCGAGCCCCAUGUCGGGCU